UGCAGUCGACGACUCUGGUAUUGAUUGGUGCUUGCAUCAUGAUUUACAUUUGAGUGAGUGGCGAACUGGUGAGUAACACGUGGGAAACCUGCCCAGAAGCGGGGGAUAACACCUGGAAACAGAUGCUAAUACCGCAUAACAACUUGGACCGCAUGGUCCGAGUUUGAAAGAUGGCUUCGGCUAUCACUUUUGGAUGGUCCCGCGGCGUAUUAGCUAGAUGGUGGGGUAACGGCUCACCAUGGCAAUGAUACGUAGCCGACCUGAGAGGGUAAUCGGCCACAUUGGGACUGAGACACGGCCCAAACUCCUACGGGAGGCAGCAGUAGGGAAUCUUCCACAAUGGACGAAAGUCUGAUGGAGCAACGCCGCGUGAGUGAAGAAGGGUUUCGGCUCGUAAAACUCUGUUGUUAAAGAAGAACAUAUCUGAGAGUAACUGUUCAGGUAUUGACGGUAUUUAACCAGAAAGCCACGGCUAACUACGUGCCAGCAGCCGCGGUAAUACGUAGGUGGCAAGCGUUGUCCGGAUUUAUUGGGCGUAAAGCGAGCGCAGGCGGUUUUUUAAGUCUGAUGUGAAAGCCUUCGGCUCAACCGAAGAAGUGCAUCGGAAACUGGGAAACUUGAGUGCAGAAGAGGACAGUGGAACUCCAUGUGUAGCGGUGAAAUGCGUAGAUAUAUGGAAGAACACCAGUGGCGAAGGCGGCUGUCUGGUCUGUAACUGACGCUGAGGCUCGAAAGUAUGGGUAGCAAACAGGAUUAGAUACCCUGGUAGUCCAUACCGUAACGAUGAUGCUAGUGUUGGAGGGUUUCGUCCUUCAGUGCUGCAGCUACGCAUAGCAUUCGCUGGGGAGUACGCGCAGCUGAAACUCAAGGAUUGACGGGG
rnacentral:rRNA from 2 species